rnacentral:rRNA from 1 species
UACGGAGGAUCCGAGCGUUAUCCGGAUUUACUGGGUUUAAAGGGUGCGUAGGCGGGCGCUUAAGUCAGCGGUGAAAUGCGGGGGCUCAACCUUCGAACGGCCGUUGAUACUGGGCGCCUUGGAUUCGGUCGAGGCGGGCGGAAUGCGACAUGUAGCGGUGAAAUGCUUAGAUAUGUCGCAGAACGCCGAUUGCGAAGGCAGCUCGCCGGGCCGAUAUUGACGCUGAGGCACGAAAGCGUGGGGAUCGAACAGGAUUAGAUACCCGUGUAGU